AUUUCCUUCAUGUUAGCUUGUUCAUUUGUUAUAUUCAGUCCUAGUUCUACAGGAGUUUUCUGAGAAUAUUUGUCAAUGGCCUCAAAGAGCAACCUCACCCUCUUUCUGCCAUGUGGGGCUAGAAGAGGAGGGCAACAUGCAACCAUAAGAGCACCCUCAGAGCACCAGAACUGGACCUGCAUCCUGAUCUCAGACUUCCAGCCUCCAGCACUGUGAGAGAUAAAUGUCUACAGUUUAUGAGCACCACAUCUGUGCUCAUAACAACCCAGAAGGAAUAAGACAACAGUUUUCCCUCAUGUGAACCUACCAAUUAGUGGAUCUCUUUCUGAUGUACUUGGGCUUAUGUCUGGCCUUUUGGAAGAGCAUCGGGAUCAAAAGGAUUCAACAAGGAUGGAUGCCCUCUCUCCAGUUUGCUGAGACAGGGGUGUCACUCCUGCAGCAGCAAGAGACUUUUGCUUUGGCCAAGAAGCCAUCAAUAAUUUGUUUUCAUAACCAGCAGAGGGCGCCAGGGCCUGCAGUAUGGUUAACAAGCGGUGAAAUCAUCUAACCUUCAGGUGAUUUCUUGAGUUUGGAAAUUGGCAAGCUAACAAAUGCUUUAAAGAAGAAAAGUG